UACGGAGGGUGCAAGCGUUAUCCGGAUUCACUGGGUUUAAAGGGUGCGUAGGUGGGCAGGUAAGUCAGUGGUGAAAUCCCCGAGCUUAACUUGGGAACUGCCGUUGUUACUAUCUGUCUUGAAUAUCGUGGAGGUUAGCGGAAUAUGUCAUGUAGCGGUGAAAUGCAUAGAGAUGACAUAGAACACCAAUUGCGAAGGCAGCUGGCUACACGGUAAUUGACACUGAGGCACGAAAGCGUGGGGAGCAAACAGG
rnacentral:rRNA from 1 species